CAUAUAAAGCCAAGGAAACCGAGGAAAUACUAUUUCUAAGAAUGAUCUUUAAUGGAAAGAAAAUCUCAACACCUUAUUUGAUCUGGAAACAAAACGUGGAAACACAGGAGGGAUGUCAGUGGCUAAACAAUACUGCCAUGUGACAACAGGAUAUCUAUGGAAAUUGAAAUAUAUGUGAGAGGGAAAUAGAAUAGGCUAAAGAGAGGGACAGAGAGAAGGGA
rnacentral:lncRNA from 10 species